rnacentral:rRNA from 1 species
GAUGAACGCUAGCGGCAGGCCUAACACAUGCAAGUCGAGGGAGGAGCUUUCGGGCUUCGACCGGCGUACGGGUGCGUAACGCGUAUACAAUCUGCCUUUCACAUAGGGAUAGCCCGAAGAAAUUUGGAUUAAUACCUAAUGGUAUAUAGAGGUGGCAUCACCUUUAUAUUAAAGCUGAGGCGGUGAAAGAUGAGUAUGCGUUCUAUUAGCUAGUUGGAGAGGUAACGGCUCCCCAAGGCGACGAUAGAUAGGGGUUCUGAGAGGGAUAUCCCCCACACUGGUACUGAGAUACGGACCAGACUCCUACGGGAGGCAGCAGUGAGGAAUAUUGGACAAUGGCCGGAAGACUGAUCCAGCCAUGCCGCGUGCAGGAAGACGGCCUUAUGGGUUGUAAACUGCUUUUGCAGGGGAAGAAUAAGGACUACGCGUAGUUUGAUGACGGUACUCUGCGAAUAAGCAUCGGCUAACUCCGUG